rnacentral:rRNA from 1 species
GAUGAACGCUGGCGGCGUGCCUAAUACAUGCAAGUCGAGCGAACAGAUGAGGAGCUUGCUCCUCUGACGUUAGCGGCGGACGGGUGAGUAACACGUGGAUAACCUACCUAUAAGACUGGGAUAACUUCGGGAAACCGGAGCUAAUACCGGAUAAUAUAUUGAACCGCAUGGUUCAAUAGUGAAAGACGGUUUUGCUGUCACUUAUAGAUGGAUCCGCGCCGCAUUAGCUAGUUGGAAAGGUAACGGCUUACCAAGGCAACGAUGCGUAGCCGACCUGAGAGGGUGAUCGGCCACACUGGAACUGAGACACGGUCCAGACUCCUACGGGAGGCAGCAGUAGGGAAUCUUCCGCAAUGGGCGAAAGCCUGACGGAGCAACGCCGCGUGAGUGAUGAAGGUCUUCGGAUCGUAAAACUCUGUUAUUAGGGAAGAACAAAUGUGUAAGUAACUAUGCACGUCUUGACGGUACCUAAUCAGAAAGCCAUGGCUAACUACGUG